rnacentral:rRNA from 1 species
GUCGACGAUGAACCACUUCGGUGGGGAUUAGUGGCGAACGGGUGAGUAACACGUGGGCAAUCUGCCCUGCACUCUGGGACAAGCCCUGGAAACGGGGUCUAAUACCGGAUACUGAUCCGCUUGGGCAUCCAGGCGGUUCGAAAGCUCCGGCGGUGCAGGAUGAGCCCGCGGCCUAUCAGCUUGUUGGUGAGGUAGUGGCUCACCAAGGCGACGACGGGUAGCCGGCCUGAGAGGGCGACCGGCCACACUGGGACUGAGACACGGCCCAGACUCCUACGGGAGGCAGCAGUGGGGAAUAUUGCACAAUGGGCGAAAGCCUGAUGCAGCGACGCCGCGUGAGGGAUGACGGCCUUCGGGUUGUAAACCUCUUUCAGCAGGGAAGAAGCGAAAGUGACGGUACCUGCAGAAGAAGCGCCGGCUAACUACGUGCCAGCAGCCGCGGUAAUACGUAGGGCGCAAGCGUUGUCCGGAAUUAUUGGGCGUAAAGAGCUCGUAGGCGGCUUGUCACGUCGGUUGUGAAAGCCCGGGGCUUAACCCCGGGUCUGCAGUCGAUACGGGCAGGCUAGAGUUCGGUAGGGGAGAUCGGAAUUCCUGGUGUAGCGGUGAAAUGCGCAGAUAUCAGGAGGAACACCGGUGGCGAAGGCGGAUCUCUGGGCCGAUACUGACGCUGAGGAGCGAAAGCGUGGGGAGCGAACAGGAUUAGAUACCCUGGUAGUCCACGCCGUAAACGGUGGGCACUAGGGUGUGGGCAACAUUCCACGUUGUCCGUGC